rnacentral:sRNA from 1 species
UACUCUCCAUCACUGGGCGUAGCACGUCGU